rnacentral:pre_miRNA from 1 species
GGAGCCAUAGGGAGGGAUACCAAUCCAACGUUAGGAAAAGAAACCUGCCACAGGAGUCUUGGCGAUUGACAACUGUCCUAAUGAUUUA